rnacentral:rRNA from 1 species
AGUGAACGCUGGCGGUAGGCCUAACACAUGCAAGUCGAACGGCAGCACAGUAAGAGCUUGCUCUUACGGGUGGCGAGUGGCGGACGGGUGAGGAAUACAUCGGAAUCUACUUUUUCGUGGGGGAUAACGUAGGGAAACUUACGCUAAUACCGCAUACGCCCUACGGGUGAAAGCAGGGGAUCUUCGGACCUUGCGCGAUUGAAUGAGCCGAUGUCGGAUUAGCUAGUUGGCGGGGUAAAGGCCCACCAAGGCGACGAUCCGUAGCUGGUCUGAGAGGAUGAUCAGCCACACUGGAACUGAGACACGGUCCAGACUCCUACGGGAGGCAGCAGUGGGGAAUAUUGGACAAUGGGCGCAAGCCUGGUCCAGCCAUACCGCGUGGGUGAAGAAGGCCUUCGGGUUGUAAAGCCCUUUUGUUGGGAAAGAAAAGCAGCAGGUUAAUACCCCGCGGUUCUGACGGUACCCAAAGGAUAAGCACCGGCUAACUUCGUG